AUGUGUGAUGCAAGUGACUUUGCUGUGGGUGCAGUACUGGGACAAAGAAAAGGAAAAGAUUUGCAUGUAAUAUACUAUGCUAGCAAAACUCUUGAUGGUGCUCAAGCUAAUUACACAACCACAGAAAAGGAGUUGUUGGCAGUAGUGUAUGCCUUUGUCAAAUUCAGGCAAUAUCUUGUAGGGUCUCAUUGUGUAGUUUACACAGACCACGCUGCAAUUAGAUAUCUACUCAGCAAGAAAGAAGCCAAGCCAAGGUUAAUUAGAUGGAUACUCUUGCUUCAAGAAUUUGAUGUGGAAAUCAAGGACAAGAAAGGAGCUGAAAAUGUUGUGGCAGAUCACUUGUCGAGGUUGCAAAACAAUGCAGUAGACUCCUUACCUAUCAAUGAUGUGUUACUAGGGAGCAAUCUUAUGCAAGUGACUAGUAUACAAAACUAUACACCAUGGUAUGCAGAUAUAGUUAAUUAUCUGGUCUGUAACAAAGUCCCUACAGAUUUUGGGUAUCAAAAGAAGAAGAAAUUCUUAUCAGAUAUGAAGCACUUCUUUUGGGAUGAACCUUACUUAUUCAAACAUUGUGCUGAUGGUAUUGUUCGAAGAUGCUUGCCGAAAGGUGAAGCUAAAGGUGUGAUCUAUCAUUGCCAUUCAUCCCUUUAUGGAGGUCAUGCAAGUACUAGGAAGACUCAAGCAAAAAAAUUGCAAGCGGGAUUUUACUGGCCAACUUUAUUCAAGGAUGUACAUUCCUAUAUUGAAGCUUGUGAUCCUUGUCAGAGAACUGGAAAGAUUUCAAAAAGGCAAGAGAUGCCUCAAAAAGGAAUUCUUGAAGUAGAGCUCUUUGAUGUAUGGGGAAUUGAUUAUGUUGGACCCUUGCCAUCAUCAAAAGGGUACAAAUACAUAUUGGUGGCAGUGGACUAUGUGUCAAAAUGGGUUGAGGCUGUACCAACCGUCAAUGCUAAUUCCAAGUCAGUUUGCAAUUUGUUCAAGCAAGUGAUCUUUCCAAGAUUUGGUGUGCCACAGAUUGUUAUCAGUGAUGGAGGAACACAUUUCAACAACUCCCAACUAGAAUCUCUCUUAGCAAAAUAUGGAGUUCAUAAUCACAGAAUUACAACUCCAUAUCACCCGCAAGCAAAUGGACAAGUGGAGUUGUCUAAUAGAGAAAUAAAGGCCAUUCUCGAGAAGGUAGUAUCAAAGUCAAGGUCUGACUGGGUACUGAAAUUACCAGACACACUAUGGGCAUAUAGGACAGCCUAUAAAACACCAAUAGGAAUGUCACCAUUCAGGUUAAUAUAUGGAAAAGCAUGCCAUCUACCCGUUGAACUUGAACACAAAGCUCAAUGGGCACUAAGGAAACUCAAUAUGGACCUUGAUGCAGCAGGAAAAUACAGAAAACUUCAACUCUGUGAAAUGGAAGAACUGAGAGUUGACUCUUACGAGAGUGCAAGAAUUUACAAAGAAAAGACCAAGAUCUGGCAUGACAAGCAUAUAUUGAGGAAACAAUUUCAUCUUGGACAGUUGGUACUGGUCUAUGAUACUAGGUUUCAUUUAUUUCCUGGUAAAUUCGAGUCAAGAUGGUAUGGCCCUUGCAAGGUGAAGAAGAUUCUGCAAAGUGGUGCUAUUCAAGUGCAAAGUACUUCUGGAGGUCUCUUCCUUGUAAAUGGUCAAAGAUUGAAGCCCUACAUCCCUGGAGAUCCACUUCUUAUUUCUGAAGAUGAAAUGCAAGCGAAGAUCAAGACCCAGAGGAGGAAAUUCAAGAAGGCAAGGGGACCCAAGAGGUGUCAAUCCCUGCAGGACCCUGACCUCACUGACGAGACAUGGUCGAGCUAA
rnacentral:rRNA from 1 species